rnacentral:rRNA from 1 species
CAGGCCUAACACAUGCAAGUCGAGCGGGGGAAGGUAGCUUGCUACCGGACCUAGUGGCGGACGGGUGAGUAAUGCUUAGGAAUCUGCCUAUUAGUGGGGGACAACAUCUCGAAAGGGAUGCUAAUACCGCAUACGUCCUACGGGAGAAAGCAGGGGAUCUUCGGACCUUGCGCUAAUAGAUGAGCCUAAGUCGGAUUAGCUAGUUGGUGGGGUAAAGGCCUACCAAGGCGACGAUCUGUAGCGGGUCUGAGAGGAUGAUCCGCCACACUGGGACUGAGACACGGCCCAGACUCCUACGGGAGGCAGCAGUGGGGAAUAUUGGACAAUGGGGGGAACCCUGAUCCAGCCAUGCCGCGUGUGUGAAGAAGGCCUUAUGGUUGUAAAGCACUUUAAGCGAGGAGGAGGCUACUUUAGUUAAUACCUAGAGAUAGUGGACGUUACUCGCAGAAUAAGCACCGGCUAACUCUGUGCCAGCAGCCGCGGUAAU